CAGCUUGUGACGGGUCCAGCUGGCUGGCCCCAUGAGGUGACUUCUGCCCAGUGCUCUGGUUGUCAAUCCCAAGAGAUCGAGGCAAGCGCGGGUAAACGGCGGGAGUAACUAUGACUCUCUUAAGGUAGCCAAAUGCCUCGUCAACCAAUUAUUGACGCGCAUGAAUGGAUCAACGAGAUUCCUGCUGUCCCUAGCGGCUAUCCGGUGAACCAACAGCCAAGGGAACGGGCUUGGAUGUGCCAGCGGGGAAAGAAGACCCUGUUGAGUUUGACUCUAGUCUGCUGCUGUGCAACGACAUGUGGGGUGUAGCAUAGGUGGGAGGUGAGCGUCAUGCUCCAUCCUUCCCCUGGAAGUGCCAUGUGUGUCCAAUGGACGUGAGCCAGCAAUGAAAUACCACUACCUUCACCGUCGUUUUACUCAUCGAGUGGCUUGGGAACAGUGGCCAUUGGACAUCGGCCAUCGCACACCCAUGUGGUGGUCGUGGCCUGUAUCUGGUUCGUGACUCAAGCCAAGGUCUUAUCCCUCACGGGACAGUGGCCUGGCAACCCAAUGGGCUGACCACCCAUCCAUCGGCUAUGGAGCCUCGGAACAAUGAUCAGUUGGGGAGUUUGGCUGGGGCGGCACGCCUGUUACAUUGCAACGCAGGCGUCCUGAAGCAUUGCUCAGAUGGAACAGAAAUCUCCCAUGGAGGAGCAGGCCAAAGGUGCUGCUGAUGUGUUGACUUCCAGUACAAGUCCUGAACACGCAAGUGUGGCCUUGCGAUCCUUUGGUCAAGUGCACGAGUUCUGGAUAUUGAAGCCAGAGGUGUCAGAAAAAUUACCACAGGGAUAACUGGCUUGUGGCUGCCAAGCGUUCACAGCGACGUCGCUUUUUGAUCCUUCGAUGUCGGCUCUUCCUAGCUUCUCGCCUGCAGCCGAGCAGAAGAGUUGGAUUGUUCACCCACCAACAGGGAACGUGAGCUGGGUUUA
rnacentral:rRNA from 1 species